UUAAGAAUCUUGCGCAAUGGGAGCAAUCCUGACGCAGCGACGCCGCGUGAAUGAUGAAGGCCUUCGGGUUGUAAAGUUCGAUAAGCAGGGAAGAAUAAGUCCGGGGUAAUAUUCCGGAUGAUGACGGUACCUGCCUAAAGCCCCGGCUAACUACGUGCCAGCAGCCGCGGUAAUACGUAUGGGGCGAGCGUUGUUCGGAAUUAUUGGGCGUAAAGGGCGCCUAGGCGGGGGACUAAGUUAGUUGUGAAAGCUAUGGGCUCAACCCAUAAAUUGCAUCUAAGACUGGUUCUCUUGAGUUCGGGAGAGGAGAGCGGAAUUCCAGGUGUAGCGGUGAAAUGCGUAGAUAUCUGGAAGAACACCAGUGGCGAAGGCGGCUCUCUGGCCUAGGACUGACGCUGAAGCGCGAAAGCGUGGGGAGCGAACA
rnacentral:rRNA from 1 species